CAGCCGUAAACUAUGCUCGCUAGGUGUCAGGGACGGUGCGACCGUUUCUGGUGCCGCAGGGAAGCCGUGAAGCGAGCCACCUGGGAAGUACGGUCGCAAGGCUGAAACUUAAAGGAAUUGGCGGGGGAGCACUACAACGGGUGGAGCUUGCGGUUUAAUUGGAUUCAACGCCGGAAAUCUUACCGGGACCGACAGCAACAUGAAGGCCAGGCUGAAGACUUUGCCGGAUUAGCUGAGAGGAGGUGCAUGGCGUAGUCGUGU
rnacentral:rRNA from 1 species